CGUGCGUGCGUGCGUGCGUGUUGCUGCUCUUUAAUUAUUUGUUACUUUUAUUUCAUUUUUUUUACUUCUCUAUUUUUUUUUUACUUAACACUUCUUUUUCUUAAAACUGCAUUGUUGGUUAAGGGCUUGUAACUAAGCAUUUCACUGUAUGGUCUAAACCUCUUGUAUUCGGCGCAUGUGACAAAUAACAUUUUAUUUGAUUGGAUCUUUCUACAUCACCCUGUCAAUUAUUUUCUCCUGUCAGCUCAUGCUGUCCCAAUCAGUAUUAUUGUAUAUCUCUUUCUUUUCCGUUUCAUCCUCCCCCUCUUCCCUGUCCCUGUCUUAUACCUCCGCCUCCCUCGUUCCCUCCCUCUCUCCCCCGCUUUAUGUUAUACAUCCCUUUCAGCGAAAAAGUGACACGUCAUCGGAUCCGACCUGGGUGCGGGUUCUUUUUUUUCUUGAUGGUAAUCAGUUUGCAAAUCAGUGCAGUGUCAAUAAGAGUGUUGCCAAGUUGUUUGUAUCACUCCGCCUUAAUCUGAGAGACAGUGGAAGCGUUGCGGACUGCCGAACACACCGUUUGGAGUGGAUUUGUGUUCUAAGAGAGGCUCACAAGGCGGAGAAGAGAGAGAUAUUACUUUUUGAAAGUGAAGCAUUCUAUAUAACCCUCAAGUGUUGAAGACGAGGGCUGUGUCCCAAACGGCACCAUAUUCCCUAUAUUUGUAUUUUUUAUUUUUUUAUUUAACUAGGCAAGUCAGUUAAGAACAAAUUCUUAUUUUCAAUGACGGCCUAGGAACAGUGGGUUAACUGCCUUGUUCAGGGGCAGAACGACAGAUUUUUACCUUGUCAGCUCGGGGAUUCAGUAUAGCAACCUUUCGGUUACUGACCCAACGCUCUAACCACUAGGCUACCUGCCGCCCCAGGCCUAUGGACCCUGGUCAACAGUAGUGCAGUACAUAGGGAAUAGGGUGCCAUUUGGGAUGCGGCUGAGGAUGUAACAGAAUAAAAAAGCUCUGCAUCACAAUGUUCCAUACUUUAUGAUUCACGGUUCAUUGAUUAAUUAUUAUGUUAUUAAAGGAGUCGGCCGCAGGGCUGGAAAAGCAUUCAUGUGGUUCCAUGUGCUUUUAAUAUGGACAACAUCCCAAAACUGUCCCUGCAGACUGGGUUUUUAACUCAAAAUUAAAUUAAGUCUUUAGGGCCAGUUUCCCAGACACAUGUUCAGCCUAGUCCUGGACUGAGAAGCACUUUUAAUGGAGAAUUCAACAUGAUUUUUACUCUAGAAUCAGGCUUAAUAUGUGUCUGGGAAACUGGCCCAGUUCAAACUGGAGACUGGCCCAACUUAAGAGAUAUUUGUUCAAUGUUUAAAUAAAUAGUUUUGUUUAUUUACUGUUUCUCUUCUCACUGAGUACACCAAACAUUAGGAACACCUUCCUAAUAUUGAGUUGGACUCCCCCUUUUGCCCUCAGAACAGCCUAAAUUUUUCAGGGCAUGGACUCUACAAGGUGUCGAAAGCAUUCCACAGGGAGGCUGGCCCAUGUUGACUCCAAUGCUUCCCACAGUUGGGCCACACAUUCACAAUCCAUGUCUCAAUUGUCUCAAGGCUUAAAAAUCCUUCGUUAACCUGUCUCCUCCCCUUCAUGUACACAGAAAACCCAGCCAGCUCUAUAUUAUCCAUGUAUUAUCCGUGUCGUCGUUCAGCUACGACUCGGUGAAACAGAAGAUAUUACAGUUAUUAAUGUCCCGUUGGUAGGAUAGUCUCGACCGUAGAUCAUCCUCACGUUGAGUUGGGUAUAUCGCUCCUGUUUUCUACCGUUUGCACACUUUUAUUUUAUAGUCGGCAAGUAAAGGCAAUGAACAUUGAAACGCGAGCAGCCUGUUAAUUACAAACAAAACAGCAAAAGCAACUUUGUAUUGAAGUGGGAUUGCGCAUUUUCCAACUCAUGAUUACAUCUUCGGUCGUCGUGGGAAAGACAUAGCUUUAAAAAGUUGUGUGAGGAGGUAGCAGGGCUGAGGGGGAGUUUGGAGUUUAGCCAGAGUGAAUUCUCCCGCUCCAAGGAGAGAACAAGGCAAUCACAGCUAAAGUAAAAACCCUUGAAUCCAACAUGGAUGGUCUACUCAGGGAAAACAGGGUGAUGAGGGAGUUGCUACUAGACAUACAAAGCCGUAGCAUGCAUGAAAAUGUAAUAUUUUCUGGGGAUUCCUGAGGACGAUUCCAAUAAUCCAGAGGGGGCGAUCAGAGAGUUCAUGCGAUCCGCCUUAAAACUUCCAAGAAUCCCCAACCUAUAAUCGCAAAAUUUGAACACAACCAACAAAAGGAGCUGAUCAAAAGCACGGGAAGGGAGCUUAAAGGGACCAAAUUCGGUCUCAAUGACCAAUUUCCCCAGGAGAUAAACGAACGUCGCAAGAUGCUGUACCCUGUACAGAGGCAACAGGGGGAGCGGAAUAAGCGUGCCUUUCUCAUUGUGGACAAACUUUUUAUAGAUGGACAGCUCCAUAAACCAUGGCUGUACUAAAUUCUACGGGGACGUCAGGUUCCAAAAAAAAAAGUAUGUAAAAAUAUCUGAACAUGAAGUUGAUAUGAACACACACACACUCAAUUACAUGCUCACUUACACAUACAGACUUCUACAUACACACACGAACUUGAUCUCUCUCUCUUCUCUCUCUACUCUCGCUCUCUCUUUCUCUCUUCUCUCCCUCUCUCCCCUCUCUCUCUAUUGUCGAGAACUUUUCUAUAAUUGAAUAUGUUUUUUGUUUAUCUAUCUUUUCUAUGUCUUCGUCUACAUGUUUACCUAUGUUUACAACAAGCAAGGGGAAGAACAGGGACAUUGGGGAAGAAUAACAUAUUGUAUGGGAUACAUUUGUACUGUAGUGAAGCCAUCUCUAUACUAAUGCAAGGUCUCUUUCAAGAUCAUGUGAAACGUCAAUUGCUAUGGAAAUGUUGGGAUGUGUGUGUUUUUCUAUGAAAGUUAUGUUAAAGGUAAUUAUGAUGCAACUAUGGUGGUGAUGCGAUAUGGAUUACAAUUAUCAUCUUGAAUAUUAAGGCUAUUCUCACUUCAUGUUACACACAGACACCCAACCAUGCAAAUUGGCUGGGUUAUUAUUUAUUUGGACAUCACACAUUAUAGUCUUACUCUUAUCCAGACAUCAUACACACUCUGACUAAAACACAUCCAAUAUCAUACAAAUCAACCUACUUAGAUUUACUACACACAUAAUAUCUUGAAUUUUCUAACAUCUGUGGCAUUGGCUCACGGGCACACAGGCAAGGGAAUAAAACAAAUAUUGCUAGAACCUGUUCUAAAUAUCAGACAUUUGAAAUCUCUCAUUUAGACCGUGAUAAUACCUCUUAUGGCAGUAACUUUACAAGAAGUAAUUAUGGUAAAUUUAGACUGAGAAUAGUGUCUAGUUAUGGUAAGGGGUGAAAUAAGUAUAGCCAGAUAUAAUUGUAACAGUUUAGCAGAUUAUAAAAAAGAAGAUCUGUCUUUACGUGGCUAAAAGAAAAGAAAUAUAACAUAUACUGAUUACAGGAAACUAACUCUACAUGCUUAGAUGAAAUUGUGUGGAAAAAGGAAUGGGGUGGUGAAAUAAUUUUCUGCCAUGGACAAAGGAACUCAAAAGGUGUGAUGAUAUUAUGUUGAUCUGAAUGUGCAAAUAGUCAGGAAUGAUUCGCAAGGAAGAUGGAUCUUUUUUAAUAUGAAAGUGGAUGAAAAACAGAUUUGGCUCAUUAACCUGUAUAGUCCAAAUCAGGAUGAUCCAUACUUCUUUGAAAAUAUUUAUUCAAAUUUAUUGAACUUACAGGCAACAAAUGAUCUAAUCAUUAUGGUAGGAGACUAUAACACAGUGUUGAGUACCUCAAUGGACCGUAAAGGAAUUCACUCUACAAACUAUCAUCACAGUGCCCAUAAGGAAAUCACAAAUAUUAUGGACACAUUAGAAAUAGUGGAUAUUUGGAGACUGGAGGUUGGAGGUUUAGGGGGGCUGGUGGGAGAUCUGUCGACAUGCCCUUGAGCAGGGCGUUGACCCUAGUGUGUCGCUCUCGAUGAGAGGCUGUUAAAUGACUAAUGUGAUGUAGCUGUUGAGUGGCUUCACUGCAAGUAUAUUGUAUGUUUUAAAUAUUCAAUACAUUUAAAAAUAUUAAAAUGGGAUCAUAGCUUUCACCUGGAUUCACCUGGUCAAUCUAUGUCAUGGAAGGAGCAGACGUUCUUAAUGUUUUGUACAUUUCAAGCUUGAUGUUACGCUGUGUUUACAUUGUGUCAUAGAAUAUGUACUGCAGUCAGAACAGCCGUCGGUAAAUCGCCUACGACUUUGUUAGUGUGGUAAUGAUAUUCUACGAGCCUUAUUAAAAGACAGCUUAAGGUCAUGAUGGUUUACAAGUGGAGCAGUCAAUACUUUAUCUGUCCCUGUAGUGCUGCCGUGUCUUUCGGAGUGCAUAAAACAGGGAGAGAAUACCCUGUGGGAUCGUGGAAUUCUAGCCCCACCAUAUCUUUUCUGAUUUUCCUCCCAGGUGUUUAAGAGUAUUCCUUGUGGAGUUAGGUUCAUCUCCCAGCCAAGGCUCUUGCUUGGAUAGCUUUCAAUAAAGCCCAGUGAUUGUCUGGAAGACUGGUUAUCCAGGAGUGAAUAGCCUGGUCCUAAAUCUGUUUGUGCUGUCUGGAAUAAUAAUGACCAUAGGAGUUGGCAAGAUAGAACAAACAGAUCUGGGACCAGAGGAGAAUACAGAACAAACAGGCCUGGGACCAGAGAGCAAUACAGCACAAACAGGUCUGGGACCAGGCUACAAGACAGUAGAAACAGGUCUGGGACCUGGCUACAAGACAGCACAAACAGAUCUGGGACUAGAGGACAAUACAGCACAAACAGGCCUGGGACCAGGCAACAAGACAGCAUAAACAGGUCUGGAACCAGGCUACAAGACAGCACAAACACAUCUGGGACUAGAGGACAAUACAGCACAAACAGGCCUGGGACCAGGCAACAAGACAGCAUAAACAGGUCUGGGACCAGGCUACAAGACAGCACAAACACAUCUGUGACCAGGGCAGCACAACCAGGUCUGAGACCAGGCUACUGAACCACUGCAUUGGAAGAUAUGUGUGUUAACAUUUUUGCCUAAAAAUGACUUACCCAAAUCUAACUGCCUGUAGCUCAGGACCUGAAGCAAGGAUAUGCAUAUUCUUGAUACCAUUUGAAAGGAAACACUUUGAAGUUUGUGGAAAUGUGAAAUUAAUGUCGGAGACAUUAACACAUUAGAUCUGGUAAAAGAUAAAAACAAAGACAAAAACAUGCAUAUGUAUAUUUUGAUAUAUAUAUAUAUGUUUUUUUCCCAUCCUCUUUGAAAUGCAAGAGAAAGGUGUCACGAAUCCCGCUUCCUGAGUCUGGGUUUGCCUGUGUGUCUGUCCUGGAGUGUGUUUCAGGUGUCCUGGAACGCACCCUGUCUGGUUGCCGGGCGAAUUAGCUCAUUGGGAGAUUGAUUUCACCCGCACCUGUUUCCCGUCAGUAAUCUGCACACCUGUCCUGAUCAUCAUCUCUACCCUUCAAAAGCUCUGACCUGACUUCCAUUCCCUGCCGGAUCGUUAGCCAUGAACAUUACUCACCUGGAUCAUUCACUCCAUUCCCGCCUGGUUGACAGAGGAUUCUGCUACUACAUUGGAUUCACCUAUUUCCUCUCAUCUACUCACCACCGCUGCCCGCUACGCCAUCUGGAUAUAUCUACCUUUUCACAUUUCACUGUAAAUAAAUACUCACCUUCUUCCUA